rnacentral:rRNA from 1 species
UAGGGAAUAUUGCGCAAUGGAGGAAACUCUGACGCAGCGACGCCGCGUGAGUGAUGAAGGCCUUCGGGUCGUAAAGCUCUGUCGCAGGGGAAAAAUAAACUGAUUGUACCCUGAAAGAAAGGAUCGGCUAACUUCGUGCCAGCAGCCGCGGUAAGACGAGGGAUCCUAGCGUUGUUCGGAAUUAUUGGGCGUAAAGCGGGUGUAGGUGGCUUUGUAAGUCAGGUGUGAAAUCCCAGGGCUUAACCCUGGACGUGCACUUGAUACUGCUAAGCUUGAGUGUAGGAGAGGCUACUAGAAUACCUAGUGUAGUGGUGAAAUACGUAGAUAUUAGGUGGAAUACCGGAGGCGAAGGCGGGUAGCUGGCCUAACACUGACACUCAGACCCGAAAGCGUGGGGAUCAAACAGG